rnacentral:rRNA from 1 species
AUGGCGACCGGCGCACGGGUGAGUAACACGUAUCCAACCUGCCUCAUACUCGGGGAUAGCCUUUCGAAAGAAAGAUUAAUAUCCGAUAGCAUAUAUUUCCCGCAUGGGUUUUAUAUUAAAGAAAUUCGGUAUGAGAUGGGGAUGCGUUCCAUUAGUUUGUUGGGGGGGUAACGGCCUACCAAGCCGACGAUCAGUAGCCGACCUGAGAGGGUGACCGGCCACAUUGGGACUGAGACACGGCCCAA